UUCUAUCAUCCGACACACACAACCUAGCUAGGUUAAAUGGUAGGCACAAGCCAUAUGUUUGCUUCCACAAUCUAACUUGAUUAACUACAAAAUGCCUUAUCAUCAUCUUAUCAAAAGCAAAAUGGCAUAUGUUGGCUUCCUGGUGACUAUCCAAUAUCAUGAACACCUCCAAGGCUUAUGUCCCACCUGAAUACGAAAAAACACAAAUGCACACGGAUAAAAAAUACAGAUAAAGAUGACUACAUGUUGCUUCAAACUAGAUUCCUAUGCUUUUUGCCCUUCCACAAAAUUUAAGGAGAGUUUGAACAAGAAUCUGCAUAUACCUGUAAGAAUCGAGAGGCGCCAAGUUACAUUCAACAUAGUUGCAUUCAAAUAACAGAAAAAACUCAGUCCUGACUGCAGAAGAUUGAUGAUGGAGAGCACAACAUUGAGCCCAUCUAGAUCUCACCACGACAUGUCUUCCUCAACCUCGUCGCUACUGGAUCCAAAGGACCUCAUACUCGCUGGCAGAGAAUCAUCGCAGAGGAGGAGGGAGUCGAUGGGAGGAAUCAAGUAGAGGAUGGAGAAGGCGAGGAGAUUUACUCACAUGUGUCCUCCGAUUAGCUGCAGCGACAAGCCAAUGAGAGGGAGAGGCCACAGCUGCCAGAACUGUUGUGGCGGCUCGGGUGGGUAUGGCAACCCCGACGAGCGCGCAGUGGGAAUGGUGGCCAACCACGACGGCAAGGACGACGGCCUAGAC
rnacentral:lncRNA from 1 species